GGAUUCCAUCCCAAAUCCAGGAAAACUCCACGGAUUCCAUCCCAAAUCCAGGAAAAUUCCAUGGAUUCCAUCCCAAAUCGAGGAAAAUUCCAUGGAUUCCAUCCCAAAUCUGGAAAAAUUCCAUAAAUUCUGACCCAAAUCUGGGAGAAUUCCAUAAAUUCUGACCCAGAUCCGGGAAAAUUCCAUGGAUUCCGUCCCAAAUCCAGGACUACUCCAUGCAUUCCGUCCCAAAUCUGGAAAAAUUCCAUAAAUUCUGACCCAGAUCCGGGAAAAUUCCAUGGAUUCCGUCCCAAAUCUGGGCAAAUUCCAUCCCUAGUCUGGGAAAAUGCCAGGAAAAUCCCAGGAAAAGUUCCAGGAAUUCCAUUCCCUACCCAGGAAAACUCCAUCACAAAUCCAGGAAAAUCCCAUAAAUUCUGACCCAAAUCCAGGAAAGGUCCACGGAGUCCAUCCCAAAUCCAGGAAAAUUCCAUUCCCAAAUCCAGAAAAAGUCCGUUCCGAGUCCAUGAAAAUUCCACAAAUUCUGUGCCCGGUCCAUGAAAAUUCCAUGAAUUCCUCUCCAGUCCAGGGAAAUUCCAUCCCAAUCCAGGAGAAUUCCGAGAAUUCCAUCCCAAUCCAGGAGAAUUCCAUGAAUUCUGUCCCAAUCCAGGAGAAUUCCAUGAAUUCCAUCCCAAAUCCAGAAUUCCGUUCCCAGUCCCUCCAUCCCGGGAAGAGCCAAAUCCUCUUUUUCUCCUGGAAAAUUCCCCCCCCCAGAAUUCCCAAAUUUUCUGUUCCCCCUUUGGAACAGGAAAAUCCCAAAAAACCCCAAAACCAAAAAAAAAGCCCAAAACCCCAUCCCAAAAAUUCCAAGGGCGCCCCUCCCCCCCAGCCUCUGGAUGAGAAUUCCCAGGAAAAAGGGGAAUUAUCCCAAAAAUAGUUAAAUAUUCAUAAAUAUUCCACUCUGAGGGGCGGGAAUUGGGAAAAAAAUGGGGAAAAAUUGGGAAAAAAUCUGGGGAAAUUGGGAAAAAAUUGGGGAAAUUUCCCCUCCUGAUCUGAUAAAAAAUGGGAAUAAACCAGGACUGGGAGGGAAUUUGUCUAAUAUA
rnacentral:lncRNA from 1 species